UGAUUUGUGUCUCCGUCUAUUUUUGUUAGCUUUACUGAUAGUUUGUCUUGUGUUUAGCUGGUGGGAGCUCUUUCAGGUUGACUCCUGGGUCCUUUCGCCAGUACACCUUCUUUCUAUGUUUGUUUGGAGAGCUGGGGGCUGAGGCCUGGCAGGAUAACCAGGCAGUCACUGCUGUCUUAGUUUUCUGCUGGACUCUCUCCAGACUCUGUGGCAUGUUGGGGUAGGCCACAUAUAGCUUAGUGUUCAAGGUUUGGAGGCUGCUGUGAUUGAGGGGACUGAAGAAAAGACAGCAGGUUAAUAGCCUGUACUGUGGAAAUCCAUGCAGCAGUUAAAAAGAAUAAGCUAAUUUUGUCUUUACCAACAUAGACUGACCACUGAGAUGACAGAUGAGAGGAAAAAAAAGCAAGAUCAGUAAUGUCCUACUUUAAGUUACUUAAAAUCUGCCUCAGUUUAUUCAUCUUCAUAAUGUGGAAAAUAGCUACACUGUGAGGAGUAAUUGAGAAAAUAUAUGUAAAGUGUUUAGAACAGUAAUAUAUUUUAUGAAAAUUAACUUAAAACAAUUCUCUUCUAUGGGUGGAUGUGUGACUAAGCAUCCACACAUACUUA